rnacentral:lncRNA from 1 species
CUUUUAGCUUUGAAGGGUCCAUCUUUUUCCUUAUUUAAUUAUCUGGAAGGAGUGGUCACAGAAAUACUCUUCUGCUUACCUGAAGAUCUCUAAAUGAUAUCCAGCAGGAGGUGCUACAAUGAGAUAAAGGAAAUUUUUGAAUUUUGAGGGUCUUAAUACUUACUGCAGCUCUACUUAAGCUUCAGCUAAGCAACAGGAUUAACACCUUAAAGUUCCAGAAAGAUUUUGAGCAUACUAUACUGCUUUCUUAGUAUGAUCAAAUUAGGUAAGACAUAUGAAAGUUCUUUGUAAAUUUUAAGAAGCCAUGCA